rnacentral:tRNA from 1 species
GCCCAUGGUAAGGCAGUGGUCUGCAAAACCUCCAUUCAACGGUUCAAAUCCGUU